rnacentral:pre_miRNA from 1 species
CUCUGUGUCAUUUUACACAGCGUGGGAAAGUUCUUUGGAAUUUUCUCACACUGUGUAAAAUGACACAGAG